GUGCUCGCUUUGGCAGCACAUAUACUAAAAUUGGAACAACACAGAGAAGAUUAGCAUGGCCCUGUGCAAGAAUGACACACAAAUUCGUGAAGCGUUUCAUAUUUUU
rnacentral:snRNA from 1 species